ACGUACACUCCUACGGGAGGCAGCAGUGGGGAAUUUUGGACAAUGGGCGCAAGCCUGAUCCAGCCAUGCCGCGUGCGGGAAGAAGGCCUUCGGGUUGUAAACCGCUUUUGUCAGGGAAGAAAAGGUUCUGGCUAAUACCUGGGACUCAUGACGGUACCUGAAGAAUAAGCACCGGCUAACUACGUGCCAGCAGCCGCGGUAAUACGUAGGGUGCAAGCGUUAAUCGGAAUUACUGGGCGUAAAGCGUGCGCAGGCGGUUAUGCAAGACAGAGGUGAAAUCCCCGGGCUCAACCUGGGAACUGCCUUUGUGACUGCAUGGCUAGAGUACGGUAGAGGGGGAUGGAAUUCCGCGUGUAGCAGUGAAAUGCGUAGAUAUGCGGAGGAACACCGAUGGCGAAGGCAAUCCCCUGGACCUGUACUGACGCUCAUGCACGAAAGCGUGGGGAGCAAACAGGAUUAGAUACCCGAGUAGUCCCAUGAU
rnacentral:rRNA from 1 species